ACAUUCAGUUCAUAAUAUACCAAUAACAAAUAAGUCCAUACACACAGAGUUCAGCAGCUGGCCAAGUACAUGCACAUAAAUCACUUCAUUUGCACCUCAUGAUUGUUACAGCUGCAGCAGGAACCAGGCCAUUCCGCCUCUGGUAUGAACAACAGUGGUAACAAAGCAGAAACAAGAACUGAUGUUUAUUUCGAGCCAGUCUCUUUGAAAACAUUAUCUCCUAGGGUUCACCAGCCUAAGGGACGCAAAUUGGUCCUACUACCAUUCAGUAUAUUGAAGAAGUCUCUUAUUUGGAAUUUGAAAUUGUGACAAGAAACCCCAUUCUAGGAAGGAAGCAUCUUGAUAAGUGAAAGGGAUUUAUUUUGAUCUGUUUUCUUCUGUAAACAUGGGGCUUGAAUUCAAGGUGCGACGCUGUGCCUUUGGAGAAACCGCUUUUCUCUAGACCUCAGAGAGGAGACGGACUGAGCCUGCAGCUCUCAGGAGAAGGGGAGAGAGUCCACAAAGGCAUGGGUGGGCGCAGCCUCUCCCGUGCCAUCAGGCCUUCACUGCAUUCUGGAAAA